CACGUAGGGCGCAAGCGUUGUCCGGAAUUAUUGGGCGUAAAGAGCUCGUAGGCGGUCUGUUGCGUCUGCUGUGAAAACUCGGGGCUUAACCCCGAGCCUGCAGUGGAUACGGGCAGACUAGAGGUAGGUAGGGGAGAAUGGAAUUCCCAGUGUAGCGGUGAAAUGCGCAGAUAUCGGGAGGAACACCGGUGGCGAAGGCGGGUCUCUGGGCAACUACUGACGCUGAGGAGCGAAAGCGUGGGGAGCGAACAGG
rnacentral:rRNA from 1 species